rnacentral:rRNA from 1 species
UACAGGAGGGUGCGAGCGUUGUCCGGAAUCACUGGGCGUAAAGGGCGCGUAGGCGGCUUGAUAAGGUUGCGGUGAAAGCCCGGGGCUCAACCCCGGGUCGGCCGUGGCAACUGUCGAGCUGGAGCACUGUAGAGGCAGGUGGAAUUCCGGGUGUAGCGGUGGAAUGCGUAGAGAUCCGGAAGAACACCGGUGGCGAAGGCGGCCUGCUGGGCAGUGGCUGACGCUGAGGCGCGACAGCGUGGGGAGCAAACAGG